rnacentral:rRNA from 1 species
UACGUAGGGGGCAAGCGUUGUCCGGAAUCAUUGGGCGUAAAGCGCGUGUAGGCGGCUGGGUAAGUCCGCUCUGAAAGCCCGGGGCUCAACCCCGGGAGGCGGGUGGAUACUGCUCAGCUCGAGUCCGGAAGAGGAGUGUGGAAUUCCUGGUGUAGCGGUGAAAUGCGCAGAUAUCAGGAGGAACACCGGUGGCGAAGGCAGGUCUCUGGGCCAUUACUGACACUGAGAAGCGAAAGCAUGGGGGAGCGAACAGG